CCACCUGAUCCCAUCCCGAACUCAGAAGUGAAACAGACCUGCGCCGAUGGUAGUGUGGUUCGCCCAUGUGAGAGUAGGUCAUCGUCAGGC
rfam:Marinobacter sp. T13-3 scaffold_1383, whole genome shotgun sequence.